rnacentral:rRNA from 1 species
GGAAAUCGAAAGACCAAGCUAUGGAGAAACCAACAAGAAGAGAACUACAACCAAAGAAAGACCUGAAAUGUAAGCUGAAAGUCCAGGAUGAGCAAAAAUAAAAUUGAAGCUAAAGUCCUGAGAAUCCAAUCAAGUCGAGAGAAACACAAACUUCCAGCAACAGCAAAAGGAUAACCAGAAAAGUGAGCAGAAUGAAGCACCCAAAAAUUGAAUGCAACUGAAUGACUUGAACAAACCAGCAAGAAGCAAUAACCGAAUCGGACCAAGGCUGUGAUAGAAGUAGCAAGAACACUGUCCAGAAAUCCCACCGAAUUUGAACUGAAAACCAACCUACAGUAUAAAAUCUUUGUACUUUACACUAUGAGCAGACAACUCACGUUGAAAAUAAGCUGCCCAAAAAUAAGCAAAAGUUGCCCCCAAACCACAGAUUAGAGCAGAAUCUAGUAAUAAACAAUAUGUUUAAAUUCAAUUUUCACCAAAGAUUAGUAAAAGUCGAACCAAAACACAAGAAAAUUCAUAAGAAAACUCUCAAGGUAAGUGGGCACCAUGUGGGAUUUUCUCUCAAUAGGUUGAGAGCAUCUCUCUCUAACUCACUUUUACUGAGAGAUCUUUUUAGAUUCUACGGGUGGUGGUGCAUGGCCAUUUUUAGUUGGUGAAGCAAUUUAUCUGGUUAAUUUCGUUAACGAACGAGACCUCAGUCUGCUAACUAGCUAUGCCGAUGUAACCUUUCGUGGCCAGCUUCUUAGAGGGACGAUGACCUUUUAGGCUGUUGAAGUUUGAGACAAUAACAUGUCUGUGAUGCCUUAGAUGUUCUGGGCCACAAGCGCACUACAUUAAUGUAUUCAACGAGGCGCCGACAGGUCCGAGUAAUCUUUGAAAUUUCAUCGUGAUGGGGAUAAAUCAUUGUAAUUCUUGGUCUUCAACGAGGAAUUCCUAGUAAGCGUAAGUCAUCAGUUCAUGUUGACUUCAUCCCUACCCUUUAUACACAAUGCCCGUCACUCCUACUGAUUGAAUGUUCUAGUGAAGUGUUCAUAUCGCAUCGACGUGGGCGGUCUGCUGCCCUCGACGUCACGAGAAGUCCACUGAACCUUAUCAUUUAGAGAAAGGAGAAGUCGUAACAAGGUUUUUGUAAGUGAAUCUAUGGAAGGAUCAUUGUCGAAACCUGUAAAGCAGACCCACAAACUCGUUCCAUAACACGCGUGGAAGGACGAUGAUUAUUCUGUGUCGGUCGGGAGACAGACUGGGAAUGGCUACUUCGAGGAGCUUUCUCGAGCAUCAACCAGUCGACUCAGAACUAGUAUUGACAAGGGAAAUUCAAUUGUUUAAUUAAAAUAAAGCAUUGCAAUGGUCCCCGCUGAUGCUCACGCAAUGUGAUUUUUGCCCAGUGCUCUGAAUGUUAAAGUUAAGAAAUUCAACCAAGCGCGGGUAAAUGACUGGAGUAACUACGACUCUCUUAAGGUAGCCAAAUGCCUCGUCAUCUAAUUAGUGACGCGCAUGACUGGAUUAACAAGAUUCCCACUAUCCCUAUCUACUAUCUAGUGAAACCACAGCCAAGGGAACGAGCUUGGCAGAAUCAGCAGGGAAAGAAGACCUUGUUGAGCUUAACUCUAGUCUGACUUUAUGAAAUGACUUCAGAGGUGUAGGAUAAGUGGGAGCCAAAAGGCAAAAGUAAAAUACCACCACUUUUAACAUUAUUUUACUUAUUUCGUAAAUUGGAGGCAGGGCACUGUUCCUCUUUUUGGACCCAAGGCUCACUUUGUGGGCUUAUCCGAGCUAAACACAUUGUCGAUGAGGAGUUUGGCUGAGGCGGCACAUUUGUUAAAAGAUAAUGUAGGUGUCCUAAAAUGAGCUCAACGAGAAAAAAAAUUUCGUGUGGAAUAGAAGAGUAAAAGCUCUUUUGAUUCUGAUUUACAGUACGAAUACGAACUGUGAAAGUUUCGCCUAAUGAUCCUUUAGACCUUUGAAAUUUGAAGCUAGAGGUGUCAAAAAAGUUACCACAGGGAUAACUAGUUUGUGGCAGCCAAGCGUUCAUAACAUGUUGCUUUUUGAUCCUUCGAUGUCGGCUCUUCCUAUCAUUGUUAAGCAAAAUUCACCAAGUGUCAGAUUGUUCACCCACCAAUAGGAAACGUGAGCUGGAUUAUGACUAAAUGUCGACAGGCUAGUUUUAUCCUAUUGAUGAUAGUGUCACAGUAGUAAUUCAACCUAGUAUGAGAGAAACCAUUGAUUCACACAAUUUGUCAUCGCGCUUGGUUGAAAAACCAGUGGCGUGAAGCUACCAUGCACUGGUUUAUGACUGAAUGACUCUAAGUUGGAAUUCGGGCUAGAAGCGAUGCGCGCAUCCGCCAUUCACUUGUUGACCCACAGUAGGGGCCUCACGGCCCCAGGGGCACAUGUCGUUGGCAAAGCCCUUACAGUGGACGUGCUGCGUCGGUCGCCUUGAAGUACAAUCUCCAUCGAGCUGUGGGCAGAAUCCUUUGCAGACGACUUAAAUUCACGACG